rnacentral:lncRNA from 1 species
AGGGUCUAAACCUGGCUGUUACAGAACUCAUUAAUUCACUUUCAUUUGAUUCUCACAUAGGUUCUGUACGUACCUGUCUUGCUUAACUCGAUCGUACUUCCAUUCUCAACUUUCACUUACUUGUUGAUUUCUGCCACGAAUACUUUGCUUUUGUUGUACCAUCACUUAUAACCAUGUUUCAUCCACUUUUCCCAUUGAACCAUUUGGAAUACUAAAUCUCGGGGAUCUCGUACACAUAGUACCAUAACAAUGCCAUAUCCCAGAUAUGGUAUUACAUGUAAUCUCGUAUCGAUGCCAAUAGCUCAGCCAUGGUCUUACAUGAAAUCACAUAUUGAUGCAAAUGUCCCAGACAUGGUCUUACACAAAUUCUCAUAUCGAUGUCAUAUCCCAGAUAUGGUCUUACACGUAAUCUCGGUAACCCUAAUGUCAUGACAUUUAUAUCCUAUCUAUUCCUAAGGUUCAACCAGGACUUUUACUUUGUCGAAUCUCCGUCGAACAUUUCUAAAUCAUUGUAAUCACAAUUAAAUUCAAUAUUUAAGCAUUCACCAUAAUUAUCUCAAUUAAGAAUUUAAACAUGUAUAAUUUAAUGCUUAUUAAACAUACAAACUUACCUCAUUCGCUGAACCGACAAAUUAGGUCGACUAAUCCGAUACUUUGUUUUCCCCCGCUCUAGAUCCAAAUCUCGUUUAUCUCAAUCUAUAUAAUAUCAAAAUUUACUUAUUUAAUCAUCAUUUCAUUCAAUUUAGCACAAUUUACACAUUUUGGAAAAAUUACAUUUUGCCCCUAUUAUUUCACAUUUUUGCAAUUUAGUCCUUAUCACAUAAAAUCACAAUUUCAUGAAAUUAAACACAAACCCAAGCUAGCCAAAAUUUCCAUAUAUUACUAUCAGCCCAUAUUUUCAAUUUAUUUCACAUUUUAACCACUAAAUUUCUACAUUUCACAAUUUAGUCCAAAAUUGACAUUUUUCUCAAAAAAAUCACUUUAUAAAAGAUGAAAAUCUAACAUCAAAUAUUCAUAAUCUAUCAUAAAUCAUUAAUUUACUCAAGCAUUUAACAAUGGCAACAUGUUAAAUCUUUAACAGUUUCGAAUUCAGAAGCACAUGCUAGCUAGAUUACGAAGCAACGAUCACAAAAACAUAGAAAUAACUAAAAAUGGGACAAAAAUACAUACCACACAAGCUAUUUAGUUGUCGAAUGUAAAAGCUCUCAAAUGGCUUUUCUUCCCUAAAAUUCGGUUGAAGAUGGAGAAGAAAAGAUGAUACAUUUACUUUAUUUUACUUAAUUUAUCAUUAUUAAUUAAUUUACUUUUAUAACCUUUGAAACAUUUAAAAUUUACACAAAUGUCAAGCCAUCACAUUUCACUAUCAACAUUAAUGGUCUAAUUACCAUAUAAGGACUUCCACUUUAAAGCCCUAUAGCUAUAGCUAUUAGCUCAAUUUUUACGCUUUACAUGAUUUAGUCCUUUUUACCGAAUUAAACACUUAAACGAUAAAAUUUCUUUACAAAAAUUUCACACAACUCUAAUAUCAUGCUGUAAAUAUUAAAAUAAUAAUAAAAUAAAUUUUAUGAUCUCGAAUUUGUGGUUUCAAAAUCACUAUUCUGAUUUAGCUAAAACCGGACUGUUACAUGGGGUGUUACAGAUAGUGCUUUUUUAUUUCGUUAUAUAUUUUUUAUUUUUGUGUUUUUAUUUUAAUUUGUCUUGUUAAAAAUUUAGCUUAAUCAUGUUUAAUAACAAUGUAUAUAGGUGGUCGGUGACCGAUACAACUAUUAGGAAACUCCAAUACCUUUCUUUACGAGAGUUCAUUUUUUAUUUGUUGUGAACAAAGUUUAUGCAUGCUCCAUUGUCCAUAUAUUGAAAAGCAGUGAAACACAUUCUUCAAUAUUUGAAAAAAACCUCCAACUAUGGUCUUUGAGUCACUCGUCAUUUGGAUCCAAAUCUUUACAUAUACUCAAACACAGAAUGGGUAGGUGAUCACACCGAUUGCGGUCUGACAAUUGAUUUUAUUAUUUAUUUUGAUCAAACCCAAUAAGUUAGUCCUCAAAGAAACAACCUACCAUUGCUCGCUCCUCCACUGAAGCUAAAUAUCAAACAAUUGCAACUACUACUUCUAAAACUCUUUGGGUUAUGAAUCUGGUAAAAAAGCUCAAACUUCCACCAUCUCAUCUUCUAAAAAUCUUUUUGACAGUCGAGAUACAACAUCUCAUAGCUAACAUUUGGUUUUGCAUAGCAAAAUGAAGCAUCUUGAGAUGGAUUUACAUUUCAUUUACGAUCAUGUUCAAAGAAAAAAUUUGGAUGUCACUCACAUUCUAUGGCCAAUCAAAUUGUUGACCCACUUACAAAAGCACUCCCCGAAGCAGUCUUCAUAUCUAACCUCAACAAGUUAGAUGUUGUUCCAAGUCAUGUGGCACCUAGACUUCUUGUUUAAACUUUAAACUUGAAUUUUAUUUGAAUUAACUCUUCUUAUUUAGGAGUUUUCUUGAUAGUUCAUGUAUAUAAAUAGAUGUCACAUAUUUUUUAUAAACUUUACUUAUUUAGAUAUUAGUUUUUAUGUAAAUAUUUAUAUAUACUUGUAAUUUAAUGUAAUUAAAAUAAUGUAUUUAUUUAGCCUUGUUCAAGUUCAUUAGUUAUGUAGCAGGUAAACAGUAUUCCGGUCGACACGAUUAGGCGAAACACAUCGAUAUCAUUAACACCAGUCAAAACUUUUACCAGAACGAAAAUGUAAUUUGGAGUUCUGAUAUAUUAUCGAAACAGAACCUACGGAUUGAAAUGACUGGUACUAACUACUAUGGAUAAAACAUGAAGCUUGGAAGCAGAAUACAGGUAAGUGGUGCAGUGUCAAAUAAUUCAAUUUUGAAUCAUGGAAGGUCUUCUUUAUGGCUAACAGGAAACAGAACGGUUAAAAUAAUUAGCAUUAGAAGCCCAUGUUGCCUUUUCAAUUCAGUUGCAUUGAGUCACAAAACACUUUAUAGCUUGAUAUCUUGUUGAUGUGUAUCAAGGAGUGGGAUAAGGAAGAAGGGAAUUAGAAGGUAAGGUUGGAGAGAGAGAGGGGCGAGGUUCACAUUAAUAAUGUAGAGAGCCACUCCUAUUUAGACAAGUGCCAUCUUUUUGGAUGUUCGAGAAAUGAGUUAUGGACUCCUACGAACACGUAUACUAGUAUGCGCUACCAAGCCACAUGUUAUCUUGUUAAACUAAUUCAACCACCAUGAUAAUGGAUUAACCAACUUUACAUGCGAUUUGUUUAUCGUUUAAUAGUUGGUCUUGACAAGGUGAACACCCAACAAGGCCUCCAAUAGGGUAAGGCAAAACCUGACAUAUGGCAUAUUAUUACUGGACAAUAUUAACUUUUUGAAAUAAAAUGCGACGGGAUGAUAGUUUAAGUAUCAAAAUAGAAGAUAAGUAUACUUCAAAAUAUUAAGCCUUGCAAGGCUCCAUUUUAGUUUAAAGACAUACAAAUAAAGAGAAGAAAUAAAUAAGUUCAACACAAACCUGCAGUUUUGGUAUCAUUAUUGAACUAAUCCAUAGUUGAAUGAGCAACAAACAUGAUAAUAAGAAUUGUCCUUUUCGAGCACCUAUAGACCCUCAAGGUGCAUCUCAUUUGGUUCGAACUAGAGAUCUCUUCCUCAAGAGUCCUUUUACUAACAUGUAUACUGAUUGAGCUAGUAAGUGCUUCAAGGAAAAUAAUCUUCCCUCUUUGUCACCUUAAUUUAUAGAACAACAAUAAAGGCCAUGCAUCAUAUCAACAUGUAAGGCCUAGAUAAGGGUAUAUAGCAGGUAAUAUUAUAGGCAAUGCCUGAAAGCAAUAAUAACAAAAACAACUGCUGUAAUUGGUUCAGUUAUUACAAAGUGCUUUUUAAUAUGGUACGGUCAGAUUAAAUCUUAAUAGCUCAUGGUAUCAUGACACAAACAACACAGAAACUAAAGCCUGCUACAAUCAGGUACAGCAAAAAGAAUUGCACAAAAGGUUCGACAUCCUCGUCUUCUUUUAUCGCUGUUUGCUUCAGUCCUUUGUCUUGGGUUCCUUUAUAAAUCAAAGCAAAUGAUUCACAGUUUCAAAUCAUAGACAAGGCAAGCAACUCCUAGAUGUACUUAAAAGCAAGACUUUUCAGCCAAACCGGUUCUGAGUUAUAGCCAUUGGAGUAUACCCAAAAGAAAAGUUGAGUAGAAAAUUUUCUCACCUUGGUACAAACGUAGAUGUAAUGGACGUCAGGGUUUUUUCCAAGUACAUCUUCCACCGAGCUUCCACUCUCAUCCAACAGAAUUGGGUCUGUCAAUGCCCUUGUUGGCUGUUCGGAACUUCCUUCUGCUCCAAAUUUCGCUGCAUGAUAAAGAGCUAGAUUAGAACUAUGUCAUUCAUGCCAGGCUACUAUACAUGGAGGAUGAAACUAGUUUUACAGGCUUCAAGAAUCUAGUUACUCUCACGAAUCAUGUUCUUAUUCUGGAGUGAUUUAUGCUGUACAGUAAGAUAAAUAGAAAUAUUUGCUGUUCUACUUAUGUCAAGAGAGAAAAUAAACACAGCACUCUUCUAAAACAUUCAUUUCAUAGGAAGCAUAAGGGAAUAUGCGAUCUUAUGCAUCUUAAUGGUUAACUAGAUUCAAAAGUCACUCUUCCUUUUCGUUCAAAUCAACUAAGUAAUUCUACGCCAUUUUCUUUUAUUUGUCUAAGCAUCAUCAUUCCUUAAUAAGCUCGUUACAUCUUGUGACAACUCAGCAGUAUAUGGUCAGCACCUGAGAUUCUCAAUUUGGGGUCUCAAGUUCAAACCUCAGGCAGAGAGGUGAAGAUUAUGGGAUGGGAGAUGGUUACCUACAAUAAGAAACCCGAUGCCUACCUAGGCCAUCUGUUAUAUAUUUGAAGUAAUUACUUUACAUGCUCUAUAAUAUUCAAGUGAUUGCAAAUGACAUUAUCAAUUCUAGGAAAGAUCUGAUCAUUCAGCUGUCACAAGUCAGUACCACCUAACCCCAUAACAAAAGGAUUAUGGCAAGCGUACAAAGUAUUCCACAUAAAAAAAUGAAAAGUAUAAGGUAUUGACAACAUAGUAACCAGAAUGGGAAUUCAAUCAACCUAUCACAUGCAGUUUUAUGCUCCACAUGCACGAUUCUUUCAGCAAGCCAAGGCGAUAUACUGGAGCUCCAUAUGUAAUCUGCAGCACUUGCAAGAACAGUUAGGGAAAAAAAAUAUCUGUACAUACAGAGAGAUUGCAAUCUGAAUGGGGGAAAAUGCAAAUAACUCAAAAUCCAUGCCACACAAGCAGAACAAAUAUUUUAUGCAAAAGGAAUAAAAGGUGAGUAAAGUUACCAGAAUAUAGACUCCUUUAUCCUUGAGGACCCUAUAGUGUGUUAUCAACUGCUUCAAUAUAUGGUGAACAGAUCAAGAAAACCCAUAAAAAGAAAUUUCUAAUGUAGACAAGUCUAAUCAACUAUGUUGCUCAGACUCGAAGCACCAAAUCCAAAACGUGGAUAUGGGAGGUUCCUUGGAAAGACUUGGAAAUAUCUAACCAUAUCCGACACUAACACCCGAGUCCAAGUAUCAUAGCUAGUUACUUUUAAUGAUUAUUAUACCUCCAGACUUCCCCAAGCAUUUGAGUAGCAUUCUGUCUAGAAUUAUUCCCACACUGCACAAAAAAGUUUCCCAUCAGCUUAUUAUUGUCAAAUCAGAUCUCAAGAAGAACAUAUAUAAGCCACAAAUUCAUAAACACUCACCAAGAUAGAAUCAAGGGUCCCUGAAAAAAAUCACCAUUUAACAAAUGAAAAUCAGUAAUGUUUAAGGCCAAAAAUAAUUUAAUUAACGAAAUAAAAACAAAAAGCCAACACCUUUAUCAAUAACUGCUGCAAAGGAACCAGCUUGAAAAGGACUCAUAUCUCGUACAUCCAAUUUAAUAUCUAUAAAAAAAGAAAAAGAAAGAAAAAUUUGUCAAAAAAAAAAAAUUCAUUUCCGCGUAUUUUAUUUUGAUUUGAAUAAAGAACUCAAGCUAUGAAUACAUUUUAGCUGCUGACAAUUAGAGUACUUGGUUUGCAUAGCUUCAAUAACCACAGAUGAUAUAUCAACGUUAACAACAUCCUCGUACCCAUCGUUCACCAUGUCUUCACUAAACACUACAACAACAACAAAAAAAUGCAGAGAUUUGGUACAUAAAACCAAGAGAUCUGAAAAAGGGUAUGCAUUGAUUUUGUAGAGGAGUAGGUACCUGAGUUGCCACAGCCGACAACGAGAAUGCGUUCAUGGCGGUGGGGCACAUAAAGGUGAAUAAGAGAUGCUAAGGCAGGGUAUUUUUGGUACCAAUCAAAAGGAGCUGAUUCAUGGGCAUAGCGGUUAUCCCAGUACCAUGGCUCACCGUAUGCUUGAGAUGAUGGUGUACCCAAGGUCAUCUUCUUCUUUUUUUCUGCAACUCGGUUUAUGAUAUAUGUUUGUUGAAUUGUAAUGAGAUUUGGGUUAUGGAGUUUAUUGCAAAAAAAUGUUGGCAGUUUCGGAGUUGGUGAAAUAAAUCAGGUUGUCUCGCAGGUACACCGUGUGGAGCUUUUUCUUUUGUUGGGAUUUGGCCAUGUUUAUCAUCAAACAUCAAAGUACUAUGUAUCUCUCUCUUACCAACACGUGUGUUUGUUUUAAUCCACCCGAUUAGGAACUUAUUAAGGGUUAUUUAAUCAUAAUUAUUAUUAAUAAUCUUUUUUAUUCAUUGUCUUGAACUAACAUUUUGGUCGUGUGUUUGUGAGAAUCACAACAGGCUUUUUUUGCUUCACCAUGUUUUUAUGAUAGGAAAAAAAAGACAGACAGGGAAAAAUAUAUGCUAUGAAUAUUUCAUUCUUGAAAAGGACAGUAUCAAUAACCAUUGAAGUUUAGUUGCAUAACCUGCUUGGUUAUGCUAUAUGUCUGUAUGCACGUCGGCAGAAUAUGUCAGCUGACCCGGCGAACAUAAAUUGGAAUUGUCUUUUUCUUUUGUACAUAAGUCUCUCGAAGUUUUGUUACCCUCAAACUACAUAUAAGUGUAUGUUUAGACAUUAACUCAAUCACAACAAAUAAAUAAAUUCUCUCUACAGAAUGGAUGACAAUUGAUCUAGCUGCACUUGUAGGUGCCCAAAGCAGACAAUUUUUGCUCAUGCUUAGGACAAGACUUAUGUUUUGCGGGUCAAGUUAGAUCGUGACAAAAUAAAAAAAAAUUGGAAUAAAAGUUGAGAAAACAAGUGAGCUCUUUCUUAUAGGCUAUAAACUAAAUAAGUAAGCCCUUAAAGUUAGUUUUGAACCCAUAAAUUUUCAGGUUUUGAAGGAGCAUUAAAGUCCCAUAGAUAGAAUCAAUUAAAGGAUUACGAGAAAUAACUUGUAAGCAAACAAUACCAUUAAUGGUUUCUGAUCCUUUUACGAGGCAAAAGCCAAAAAGCCCAAAGAGGAGCAUCAUAAUAGCCGAAAACAAAAGCAAACGGUAGUUCAAAAUGGAAUGCCUGUUAUAUCAACAGUAGAAAGGGGGUGGGGGUGAAGGAUGUGAAUGGGAACAACAAACACCUGUUGGCUCAAAUAAAAAAUUGAUAUUUAAAAUGAAAUCGAGUAUGUAUUAAACUUGUAAUUGUAAAAAAGCAAGUCAUUAGACAUAUAUGCACGUAAGAAUUUUCAAACAACCAUUUUUGCCCUGCUCUCAUUUCAAUGGAUUGCAGAACCUGCAAGUAAAAUAAAAUGGUCAUGGUAUAUUCUCUAAAAGCUUUUACUUCAAAUUUUAAUUGCUUCUUUGGUUUUGGAAAAUAAACUUCGAUUGCUUGAUACUCCAUCUUUCAUUAAGCAAGUUGAGAAUAAUAACAGCUUGUUGAUUUAUCACAACAUUCCUCUCUAAGCCAAGGAUGAGAUUCUGUUUUACAUAUAUACAUACAGAUACAUAGCAAAUUAGCUGUAUUUCUAAAGAAAAUUGUAUCCAAAAAUUUGUUGCCAUGGCAAACUUGGUCUAUAGUAACCUAGAAGGUAGGUAUCCUUUUGUGCAUGCCUGGUUUAGUGUUUUUAUGAGCUAAUUAUAAGCUUGUUCUCAUUGCAGAAGUUGGAAGAUGUAUAUCAGAAGCAGCACCUAGACAUUACAUAAUAAAGAUCAUGUCAUUUUCUUUACUUGCAAAGACUGGCAUAGACAAGUAUGAAUCUGGAGAGUUUGAAGCUGGUGGAUACAAAUGGUAUCAUUAAUUUCUUCAAAACCGUGUAUGUUUAUUAGCUUAAUUAGCCUUCUUUUAAUUUGUGUAUGGUCACAGGAAACUGGUGCUGUACCCACAUGGAAACAAGAGUAGAAAUGUAAAAGAGCACCUUUCUCUCUACUUGGUUUUUGCAGAUGUUGCUUCUCUGAUUCGUCUUGAUUCGGAAGUCCACGCUGUUUUCCGGUUUUUCCUGCUUGAUCAGACCAAGGACAAUUACUUGGUAGUUCAUGGUAUUAUAUUUUCCUUCCAAACAACAUUACUGUUUUUAUUGAUAUUUGCAAUGAACAACUAUUUCAGAAAUAUAGGUGGAAUGGAGAUGCUUUAAAAGAGAAUUUUUUACCUCUGAUUUUGAUGCCUAGAUGCCGCGGGAAAAGAAAGGCCGUUUCAUAGAUCAAUGCAUCAGUGGGGAUUUGAUCAGUUGAUACCAAUUAGAAGUUUUAAUGAUGUUGGCAAUGGAUACCUACUGGAUGACAGUUGUGUGUUUGGAGCUGAAGUGUUUGUUACCAAGGAAAUGAGCUCAGGGAAAGGAGAAUGCUUAUCAAUGAUAAAGGAUGCCUUAAGUUCCAAGCAUGUUUGGAAGAUUGAAAACUUUUCCAAUUUAGAUUCAGAGUACAAUGAAUCACAACAAUUCUUUGCUGCCAAUCAUAAAUGGUAUAUAUCCACUUUAUCUCCUACUCCUCUAUGAUAUCUGUUAGAGCAUAUCGUGGUGAUAAAAGGAGCACCUUCAAGGUUUUGUCUCUCUCGGCUCUAAAGAGAGCUUAAGGGUGUCUCUUGAUGCUUGAACAGGCAAAACCAUGACUAAAGAAAAGCAAUCACAUGAGGACAAAACCUUGAGGGUGCGCCGGUUCUUCAACAACACCCAAAGAGGACGAUACCUUCAUAUUAUCUGUGAGAUAUGCUGUAACGAUAUUCUAAGAUUUUAAUUGCAAUUUCAAGGGGAUUUUGUUCACCUUUAUGAUGCAGGAAAAUACAUCUUUUUCCCAGAGGAAGACGGCAUGAAUUAGGCACUCAUAUCUCCAUGUAUUUGGCUUUAGCAGAUUCUGCCACACUUUUGGAUGGUUCUAAAAUAUUUGCAGAGUUCACCUUGCGUAUUCUGGACCAACAGCAGAGAAGGCACAUUGCUGGAAAAGGUAUAAAAAGCUCAAAUCAUCUGUAAAUAACAUUCACUAAAAUCCUUACAAAAAUGAAAAUCAAAUGUACAUUAGAAAGCAUAAUAUUUUCAUUUCUGUUGCAGUUAGUCACUGGUUUAGUAGCUCAAGCCAAGAAAGUGGGUUUGAAAAUUUUGUUUCUCUGGCUUAUUUCUAUCAUGCAAGUAGUGGGUGCCUAGUGAAAGAUAUAUGCAUGGUGGAAGCUGAGGUGACUGUCCACGCCGUUUCCAAUACAUUGUAACUAAUGUUUUGCUAUAAUUAAACUCAGGGCUCGCAUUAGACACUCGUGACCGAAGCAUAUCUAGACACGAGUGAAGGUAUACAAUCUUUCCUCGCAUAACUGUAUCAAACAAUGUGCAGUGCCAAUAUGAUACAUAAAAAAGGAAACAUAAAUAUGCAAAUACAAGUCAUAUAAACAUUUUAUAUUUAAAUAUAGUUACAUCAUUUACAGAUCAAUAGGGUGAAUUGAACUAUAAACAAUUACAACAACACAUACAUAGAUAUGUAUAUAUAUUUGCCAAUGUUUUACAUUGAAGAUUAAAGAUGCAGAGGAGAGUUUAGCCAAAAGUUUCCUCAGUGCUGUAACACAUGUAGAGAAACCCAUCAUCAUCUUUGAAAGAAUUAUAGACACACCCCAUGAGACUUACUGCGUAGUUGAGAUAAAAAGAAAAAAUGGGUCAGCAAGUUCUUGUUUAAUGAAUCAAUUAGUAAGAAUCAUCCAUGAGAGAAAUGCAGAUGGUUUUUUAACCUGAUUGAGGUAAUGUAUUGUGCACAAAAACAAAGUGAGCUUUUCCAGGACUCAAAUGUAGCCUGCUACUUAAAAUGUGAAUGAACUGACCCACCAACAUGUCUCGAGGAACCAGGAACCUUGAGAGCCAAGAAAAAAGGAGAGUUAAAAGAAACCAAUUAAUAAUAUUUACCCAGUUUUAUUAACUUCAUAUAUAUAUAUAUAUAAUGAGAAUAAAAGGAAAAAGAAAACAAUACAUAUUCUUCUCUAUAUCUGGGAGGUCUGUCCUUGAAUACCUUUCAAUGAUCACCUGGAAUAUAAACAAACAUAUAAUAGACAGACAAAAAAAAGUGAUCACUAACCACCAUUUAUGGUUGAGGCUGACACAAUGUUUGAGCCUAUAGCUGUAAUUAGCAGGUUAAUAACUCAAAAAUAAAGUGACCAAAAUUUAUUACAUCCAAGAAAACCCUUUUCAGACCAAAAUUUGAUUAAUCAGAUACUGUAAUAGAAAAGAUCAUAUUGCAAUUCAUAUGCCUAAUAUUUUUUAAUAACAAUUAGGAACCUUGGCCCCCUUAGUAUAGGCAAACUACACUUCUAGCCUCUUCUAAAAAUUAUUAACUUAAUUUAAGCCCUUUAGCCCCUUAAAUAAAUGUUAAAAUUCCAUUUUUGGCUAUUCCAAAAAUUUAAUAAUUUAAUUUAAGUUUUUUUAACAAAUUUUUUUUUAAAACUUUUAUCAUCCAAAAUUUUAUAAUUUUAUCUCAGCCUCAACAUAAAAAUUUCUCCUAUAUAAAUAAAAUAAUUAAAAAAAUCAAUGAAAUUAGAGAUGCUGGUGAUUAAAUUUACAGGAAUUCGAUCUGGGUAUUUGGCUAAUAUAGUUUUUGAUUAUUCCAGUCGUUGCUCUGCAAAUGCAAAUGCAAAACAAAACAAAAACAAAAAACCAUAAUCAUAAUCAUAAUCUAUCAAAGGCAAAGAAAAAGGUACUGAAAAUAUUUACCUAGUGAUUGCUCCUUUAGAAAAGGCUGACGCUUCACCAUUGUUAUGUCUUUUGAGAAACAAGAGUUUUUUCUGAGUAAGACAACAACAACAGAAAAAAACCGAAGGAGAAAAUGUGGCCUUUCUAGGUAGACAUUUCAACCUAAGAGAGGACCUGUCUCAUUGUGUUUUGAGACCUGUUUCAACCAGGCUGUUAAGAUGUUAGUUUCGAGGAUGUUAUUAAUGUCGGUACCCAAAAGAAACAAUGGUAAAUAAAGUAUAAAAGAUUUAUUCGACUAAAGAAGUAGUUAGAACCAUUUUGCCUGGUUGUCUGAUUAAUGUAUAAAAAAGACAAUAAAAGAAACGGUUGGGUGAUGGUGAGAUGUGUCGGCGGCAUAAUUCCGGCUUCCUUUAGUAGCUCCUUUAUGUCAUUAACAUAGACGAUUAAAAUGGCAAUGUUUCAUGAGUUUGUGGCUGGUUAAAGCCUCUCUUCUUCUUCUAAAUCUCUGUUAAGGAAGGCCAUUCAACAUUUAUCUCUAACUAGGUUUAACUUUGCCACAUGUGUCCUAUAGGUUUGUGAAAAUCCCUUGGCAGGGCAACAAUGUUUGGAUCAGCCCAUUAAAGUUUAUGACUCUCAUGUGGGUUACCAUUUCGAUGUGGGCAGCAGGAGAGAUUAGAUAUUUAGAUCCCACUAAUAAAAUAUCUCAACUUGGUAGGUGAUGAUUCUUCAUAUAAUAUCUUAGUGAAUUAGUAUUAAUUCAUUUCAUAUUAUAUUUAUAUAUUGUUUUUUUAAAUGCAAAUUAAGAAUAUAUGAUAAACUCUCAACCGAGUUGUGAAAUUAAAGAAUUAUACUACCAGUGUACGAAAAUUAUCUUUUAUUUAUAGCAUUUUUUUAUUAAUUUUGUAUAUUCUUUAUAUAGGACGCAUAAUUUUAAUUUUGAUAUUUUUAUGUUAUUUUAAUUAAUUUUAUUUUAAUACGUGUUGAAACUUGAAAGUGGUUUUAUGCUAUACUCAUUUUAUUAUUUUAUUCAUUUCUAAAAUAUUAUGUGCAAUCUAUCAAAUUAGUUGAAUUAUUCGUUCGAUUUUCACAACAUUAUGAAAAGUGUUUUGUGAUAGGAUAUAUAGUUGGUAAUGCAAAAAAGUGAGAAAUGCAUAAAAAAAUUAUAGUGUGAAAAAAAAAUAAUUAGAAAUUUAAUAUAACUUAAUUAUUAAGGAUUUAUAUUUAAUAUAAUAACAAUAUUAAUAAGCUAAAUAAUAUCACCAACUAAAAAAAAUAAAACUAAAUUCAUUUAUCUUUAUUUUUAAUAACAUACCAUCAUUUGAUUGGUUGAAAAUGCAUUAUAAUACGUCAAAUAUUAACAUAAUUAGUAAUGGCAAUAUUGAUUGAAUUCCGUUUAUUAGGAAUGAUAGGGGAGAGUAAUGGUGGGUUUGGAUGGGCGAUUGGGUGCGGUGCGGUGCGUUUAGCUUACUUUUUCUCUCGCGCUACAGUAUCUCUACAGUAUCUAAUCUCACCGCCACCGCUGUUUUUACACUAACCGCAAGUAAACGCACCACCCAUCCAAACUCACCCUAAGAGGGAAUUGAAAUAAGCUAGAGUUUAUACAUGUGUAUAUUUGCCUUCAACAACAAAUUAAAUCUAAUAAUUAAAAAAUAAGGAUUGAAAUUGAUGUGUCAAAAUAAACAAAAUAAUCUCUCUCCCUCCUUUCAAUGUUUAUUUAAUGAUUUAUAAUAAGAUAAUAUAUCAAAUCUGGUAAUAUAAGAUAUGUGUUUAUCUAAGGUCAAGUCUUCUUGUUUAGUAUACCUACCAACUCUUUUUUUCUUUUUCUUUUUCUCUCUCUUUAGGAAGGCUUUUAUCAUGCCACACCUUCAAGCUUUUCAAUCAAAAUGGUAAAUUUAUAUAUUAUGUCUUAAAUAUUUUAGAUCAUCAUAUUUCAAUCCAGUACUACUGUCAACUGAUCAGGUGGCAUUUCAUAAAAAAAUUUAUUUUUAAAAUUUAAUGUGACUGGUGACUGAAGGGAGGAGUGCCUCUGAUUGGUUAGAUGACACUGAUUUUUUACUUUAACUCUUGCCUAAAUUCGUAAAUAUUAUUGCUUUUAUCUCAUUUCAGUAUUUAUUUAAUUAUUUUACACUAUUUUAGUAAAAAAACACUUUAAUAGCAUAUGGGUAAAGUAGAUGAUGCUUUGUGUGUCUUCGGUUAAUUAUGUUGUUCCUUUUAAUGGUAAUGAGCUUGGAUUUAUUGUUUCUUGUUUAUUUUGUACAUUGAAUAAUUCAAUUAUAUGAUGCAAAAAGCUUAAAUGAGGAAGGUGUUGUAUGGAAUCUCUAUUUGUCGAGAAAAUUCGAUAGUUUCCUAUUUAUUAUUUGCUAUUUGCUGAUGAAAUUUUUUUUUAUCUUUUGAAUUAGUAUUUAUAUGUUAAUUACAUUUAUCAUAUUUUAUCCAUAUAAAAUGGAACUAAAUAAAAAGUAACACAAAUUAAAGUUAGGAGUAAUCCAUGAAUGUACCUAUGUGUGUGUUUGUUUAUAUUAAUAAAACCAAAUGUAUGAUGAGUUUUGAUAUUGCAAGUGAUAUGGUUGUUAGAAUUUCCAAGGAGGUAUUGGAAUGUGACCUGAUUCUUGGAGAAAAUUAAAACUGCUGUCAUUAUCUCUCACCAACCCACCAUGCCAUUCCUAAACCAAACCAUUCAUUGCACAAAAGGUUUUUUUUUAACCCAUGCCUUGGUGCAUCAUCAUCAUUAUUUAAUUUAAAAUUAUUUUAUAUUAUUAAUAAACUUAAAAUGUAUAAAAAAAUUAAAAAAUGGAAAGAGGUAUAUAAAGUUGUUGGAAAUUGAAAAUUGGAAUAAAAUUUUUUAUUAUUUAGAAUGUAAAAUAAAAUAAUAUUUGAUGCAUCAUUAGUGUAUAAGUAUUAUACAUUAUCAAUGAAUAAUAAUAGUAUAUAUCAUUAUUAAAUUAAAUAAAAAUUAUGGAGAAUUUAUAAAUAAAUACAAAUAAUUUUAUUUAAAUAUAAUUAAACAUUAAACGUAACUAUUAUAAAAAAAUAUUAGCAACACCCAGAUUUAGUAUAUUGAAUUUAAAUAUGUUUAAACAAAGUUAUUAAUAUUUAUUUAUAAGUCUUUUACUAUUUUUAUUAUAUUUAAUGAUGAGCUGUCAUGUUAUUAUUUACCAAUAGUACAAGGAAUUUAUGUAACGAUAAUAUAUUAAAUAUUUUUGUUUUAUAAUUUUAUUGAUCCAAAAUUGAACUAUUUAAAUUAAUAUAGAUAGAUUUAUUGUUACUGAUUUUUUUUUAAAUUACACUAAAAGAAAUACAAAACUAUCUUAUAUUCUUAAAUUAUAUUUUCAAAAAUGAAUAUGUGAUUUUUAUUAAUAGUAAACUUAAAAAAUAAACUUCAACCCAUUAAUAAUUCCACAUCAUGCAAAACCCAAGAGGUAGGAGAAAGGAAAAAUAUAUAUUAUAUAAAAAAAGGUAAACUAUAAAAAUAGUCAUUUUUGUUUGCUUCAGAUUUUACGUUUUAGUCACUUACAUUAUUGUUUUGUUAUAAAGUGAUCACUCUACUCUUAAGCUCUGUUACCUCCUUGACGUCGGUCUCACGUGGCAGUCCAAAUGAGUUUUAAAUACCAACUUAGAUGUCCUAAGUGGUAGUCCAAAUUAAAAUUAUUUAAUUAAAAACCUAUUUUCUUCCCAGCAACUAGACAUCCAAGUUGGCAUUUAAAAUUCAUUUGGACUGCCACGUAGGACUAUUGUUAGGGAUGUAACGGAGUUUAACGGUAGGGUGACGACAACUUCACAACAAAACAAUAACGUAAGUGGCUAAAACAUAAUAUUUCAAACAUAAGUGAUUAAAAGUGUAGUCUGAGACAAACAAAAGUGACUAUUUUUAUACUUUACCCUAUAUAAAAUUAUAUUUAUAAAAGAUAUGUUGAAUUGAACCAAUUAUAUUUAAUUUAUUAUAAGUAGUAUUUUUUAUAAAAUGGUGCUGUAAUAAUAUAUAAUUUUAAAAUAUGACAUUGAAGUCAUUUUCGAAUUGACUAGUAACAUGAAGAAAAGUGUAGCGUUCAGUUUGAAUUCAAAGUGGGGUGGUAUUGGUAAAUUUGGUUUGGUAUAAUAGUAACUAGAUUUUGACGCAUGUGAAAUGCAUUCUUCAAAUUAAAAUCAAAUGUCUCAAGUCAAAAAAUUAAACUAUAAAAUAAAUAAUGGGAAGUAAAUAUUUAAGAAUUUGUUGUUAAAUAAAAUAGAUGAGUUGCAUAAUUUUAAAUAUAUAUUCUCACAUAUUUUAUAAUAAAUAUAUUUUAUACAUUUUGUAAAUUUAUUGAAUUGUUUAUUUAAUUCAAGACACUAACUGAUAAACUGAAAAAAAAAACACUCGUACACUCAAACUCACGUCCUCCUAGCAACAAUGUUAUUGAAAGUUUAAGUACUUAAUUUAAGUUAAAAAAUCUAUUCGAUAUAUCACUUAAAAUUAAUUACGUACUAUAACUAAAUUGUUUGGUAAAUAUUGGUUUUAAAUUGUAAAAAUUAUAUUUUACAUUCUAUCCUUAAGUUUCAAAUAUUUUACCUUAUUUUAAAUAAAAGUCAAAAUUUGAAAGUAAAUUUUUUAUAGGAUAAUAUAAUAUUACCACAAAAUAAAAUUGAAUUAAUUGAAAAUAUUUUUCAUUAAGUAAUAAAUAGCUCUUAUCUAAUCAUUUUUCACACUUUUAUAGAAAAAUUUCUAUUGGAUUGUUUUUAUUUUUUAUUACCAAACAUGUGUAAAAAAAAUAAAUCAUUGAAAAUAUUAAAUUUCAAUUGAUUUAAUUUUUUCACAAAUGCCGAUUGAGUCUUAAUUCGAUUGGCAUGAACAUUAUUACCAAUGUAGAAAGAUGUGAGUUUGAGUGCGUUAAAGCGCAUUAUCUUCCUAUUUAUGGGUUGAGGAGAAGUUAUGAGUAGUUCUAAGUAUUGUGUCAAAAAAAUAAAUAUGAUCAAAACCUAUAAUGAAAUUGUUCAAAAAAAAAAUUCCCACAUGUUAUCAAAUAAAGCCUAAUUCAGAAUUUUUUUAAAUAUAAUAUAUAAAUGAUUAUGUUAGAAAUGAAUAUUUGUUGAGUCUAUUGACAAAAAGUUCAAUAUCCCUUAAAUAAUAUAUCAAGUUCAAGACAUGUAAAUAGAAAAAAUAAUAUUAAAAUAGUUUAAGUUACAGAACUUGAUUUAAUACAUUAGGAUAUAUGGUGAAGUUAGAAAAUUUUUGGGGCAAAAUUAAAUAAUAUAUUUUUAUAAUAGUAAAAAUGUAAUUUUAUUAUUUUAAUAAAAUUUUUAUUAUUUUUUGAGAAGUGAAAGUAAAAUUUUAUAAAUUAGAAAGAAGGUAAAUAAAAUAUUUUCUAAUUUUUGAAGCGAGAGCCUACCAACCCCUGUUAGUAGGGGUGAGCAUUUGAUCGAAUCGAAAAUUUUCAAGUUAAUCGAGUUUUCGAAUCUCAUUUUAUCAUCCUAACUUUAUUUGAAGUUUUCUCGAAUUGAGUCGAGUGAGAUGGAAUUCGAAUCGAAUAUAUUUAUUCGAGUUAAAUUUUAAAAAAUAAUUUUGGGUCCUUGUAGCCACUGUCACCCAUCGUAAUAAAAUUUGUCCACCUUAAUCAAUUUUUUAUUAACUUUCAUCACCUCAUAAUUUAUUUAUUAUUAUUUUUAUAUUAGUUAGCUUCUUUACUUGCUUAGUUGUUUCAAUUAUCUUCAGAUUAUUGUCACUAUGUAUUUUGGAAUUAAAAAAUAUAUUAAAUGUAAAAAUAUGAUUUUUUAAUAAAAGUUAUUUUAAAAAUAAAAUGUGAAAUUCAUGCUAAUAUAAAAUUUUAACACGAAUAUUUUAUGGCAUAAUUAAUAAUUCAAUUUUAAUAUAAAUAUUCAAUAUGACUAAACAAUUCAAUAAUAUAAAUAAUAUAAAAUGUGAAAUUUAAUUUAAUAAUAUAAAUAGUAGAUAUAAAUAAAAUUAUUACUAUUUAUGUUUAGUGAUUUUUUUUUGGAUAAUUUUGAUUUUUUAUUUGAGAGUAAAGGGUGAGAAGUAAAAGUUUAGGGGGAAAAUAAAAAAUUUUGGGAAUAAAAGUUUAAGGGAAAAUAAAUAGGAGGAGUAAAAUUUUGGAGGGAAAAUAUUAAAAAAAAUUGGAGGGGGGAGGGUUUGGGGUAGAUGGGAGGUGGGAUGAGAAGAGAAUAAAAGUUUUAGGGGAAAAGUGGGAGGGAGUAAAAAUUUUGGGGGAAAAUAAAAGGUUUUAAGGGUUUUUGGGAGUAAAAUUUUGAGAAAAGUAAAUGAGAGAGUAAAAUUUUGGUGGGAAAUAGAUUUUCGGUAGAUUAGGGGGUUGGGAGGAGAGGGGAGUUAAAGUUUUGGGGGAAAGUGGGAAGAAGUAAAAGUUUUGAGGGAAAAGUAAAAAGGUUUGGGAGUUUGGGGUAAAAAUGUAAAAUAUUAUAGUUUGAUAUUUGAAUUAUUCGAAUUAUUCGAGUUAUUCGAAUUUGAAAACUCAACUCGAUUCGAACUCGAAAUUUAAAAAAAAUUCGAGUUGAUUCGAAUAACUCGAAAUUUGAAUUUUUUUUCGAUUUUUCGAGUCGAAUCGAGUUUUACUCACCCCUACAUGUUAAGAUCCUUUUACCUUUUGAAUAUUAAAAGUAAAGAAAAAGAAAAGGUUUGAAUAAGGGUCUGUUUGAUUGCCAGUAAAAUGUUUUCCGUAAAAUGAUUUCUGGAAAAUGUUUUACUUUUUUGUAAAAUGAUUUACUGGAAAAUACUUUCUGGUGUUUGAUUGAAUCUGUGUAAAAUAUUUUCUGAAAAUAUUUUUCGAAAAAGUUGCUUUUACAUAUUAAUAUAUAUUAAUAAUUUUUUAUAUUUUAAAUUAUUUUACAUAUAUUGCAAUGAUUUAUUUAUAAUAAUACUCAAUUAUUAAGCUACAAUAUUAAUCGUUAUAAAUUAAAAAAAACUAAUAUCAAAUAAAUUAUUUGUAAUUGUGUUAAAAAACAAGUAUUGAAUAAUUAAAAAAACAAGUUACUGGAAAAUCGAUAAACAGAAGCAGUUUUCUACCAGAAAUGAAGGAAGGAAUGAAGGAGGCGAUAGAGAGGAGAGCACGGAAAAUAUCUUACGGAAAUUGAAAGGGUAAGAUAUUUUUCCUAAAAUGUAACUCAUUUUCCCUUGUUUUGGAGUUCAUUUUCCAAAUAGAAAAUGUUUUCUGUCAAUUAAACGUUGAAAAAAUUAGAAAUAAUUUUUCGAAAAAUUAAUUCCGUCAAUCAAACAGACCCUAAGAAAAAAAAAAAGGAAGUCAAAGAUACAACAAUGGACAGGGUGGGUGUUGGUUUGUGAGAUUUGCAUUUGGGAAUUGGAAUUACAGCCUAUACCCCCAAAGUUUUAAACCGCUUUGGUCUCAUUAAUUGUGUAAGAUAUUUUUUCACAUCAGAUAUUAUUAUUAAUUGUAGGAAAAUUAUCCGACAGACUGUUAGUGGACCGUAAAAAUGGGUCAUAUGUUUGAUUAAGACGAUGGUUAAAUUUUUACUUUCAUUUCUUACUCUCCGUAAAGUUAAAAAGGUGACAUAUUUCCUAUUAUGAUGAUUUAUACUAUAAAUAAAACAUUUAAUUUGAAUUGAUUUAACCGGCGAUCUUUUUGUCCCUAACUUUAACCAUAAUGAAAAUAAUUUUUCUUGAAAGAUUAAAAAAUCUCACCCACCGACACCGACUUACCACCUGCUUUUCAGCAAUCCGAAUAGAUCGACAACACGUGCUUGAUUCUCAGAAACGCGUUCUGGGGCUUCAUCUCAGCCGUCAGAUUGAAAUUUCCACCCAACACCUCGAUGAAUCUAGCCUCAAUCUCGUUUCCAGGGGGCUGCCAACUUCGGUUUCUCUUACAUUGCCCCUCCCUAUAUAUACUCUUUCUCCCCCACCUUGCCUACUUGCCUAUCACCCCAUCUCUCCUCUCAUACUUCACUCUAACGUUCCCUUUGAGGUUUUAGGAAAACAGCAGAGGUACCCAACGCUCCUCCUUUUUCCGUUUUAGUUCACUUCUUGUGAUAUUGGUAUUAGUUUUUGUAUGUGGGUCAUUUCGUACUUCAUGUUUUGCAUAUGAAAUGCUAUAAAUCUUUGCUAUUUCUGCUUUUGAGUUGCAGAUCUGCUUGUCUUUUUAGCGUGUUUCUUUAGUGGAAUAAAAGAUUUAUUGAAUUGGGUUUUGCAGAAAUUAAGGAAUGGAGACCUUCCUAUUUACCUCGGAGUCUGUGAACGAGGGACAUCCCGACAAGCUGUGUGAUCAGAUCUCUGAUGCAGUCCUCGAUGCCUGUUUGGCACAGGAUCCUGAGAGCAAGGUGGCUUGCGAGACCUGCAGCAAGACAAACAUGGUGAUGGUGUUUGGUGAGAUCACUACCAAAGCCGACGUAGACUACGAGAAGAUUGUGCGUGACACCUGCCGUGGCAUCGGUUUCACAUCUGACGAUGUGGGUCUGGAUGCCGACAACUGCAAAGUGCUGGUUAACAUAGAGCAACAAAGCCCUGAUAUUGCCCAAGGUGUCCAUGGCCAUCUCAGUAAGCGUCCCGAGGAAAUCGGUGCUGGUGACCAGGGCCAUAUGUUUGGUUACGCCACAGAUGAAACCCCUGAACUGAUGCCUUUGACCCAUGUUUUGGCAACCAGGCUUGGUGCUCGCCUCACUGAAGUUCGCAAGAACGGAACUUGCCCUUGGCUCAGACCUGAUGGCAAGACUCAAGUCACCGUCGAGUAUUACAACGACAAGGGUGCCAUGGUGCCUGUUCGUGUCCACACCGUGCUCAUCUCCACUCAACAUGACGAGACCGUGACUAACGAUGAGAUAGCUGCUGAUUUGAAGGAGCACGUCAUCAAGCCGGUUAUACCCGAGAAGUACCUUGAUGAGAAAACCAUUUUCCACCUUAACCCGUCAGGCCGUUUCGUCAUUGGAGGUCCCCAUGGUGAUGCUGGUCUCACUGGUCGCAAGAUUAUCAUUGAUACUUAUGGAGGAUGGGGUGCUCAUGGUGGUGGGGCUUUCUCUGGUAAAGACCCUACCAAGGUGGAUAGAAGCGGGGCUUACAUUGUGAGGCAGGCUGCGAAGAGCAUUGUUGCUAAUGGACUAGCUAGGAGGUGCAUCGUGCAAGUCUCCUACGCCAUUGGUGUACCUGAGCCAUUGUCUGUAUUUGUGGACACUUACGGUACUGGAAAGAUCCCAGACAAGGAAAUUCUCAAGAUUGUGAAGGAGAACUUUGACUUCAGACCAGGAAUGAUUGCCAUCAAUCUUGAUCUUAAGAGAGGGGGCAAUAGCAGGUUCUUGAAGACUGCUGCGUAUGGUCAUUUUGGUCGGGAUGACACAGAUUUCACUUGGGAGGUUGUCAAGCCACUGAAGUGGGACAAGGUCCAUGCUUAAUUGGAGCUUCUUCACAUUGAUUCUAUGUCUGGUUUAUCUUAUCUGCUGUCUGCUACCAUAUGAGUCUGCUUUUCUUACAAUUUCCUUUAAUUUCUUUUUUUGGGUUUGAAAUUUGAUUAAAUUUAUAUAUAUGCA